ACAAGCGGUGGAGCAUGUGGUUAAUUCGACGCAACGCGAAGACCUUACCUGGGCUUGACAUCCCCUGACAGUCCUGGAAACAGGAUCUUUUCUUCGGAAACAGGGUGGCAGGUGCUGCAUUGGCUGUCGUCAGCUCGUGUCGUGAGAUGUUGGGUUAAGUCCCGCAACGAGCGCAACCCCUAUCGAUUAGUUGCCAUCGGUUCGGCCGGGCACUCUAAUGAUACUGCCUCGGUUAACGGGAGGAAGUGGGACGACGUCAAGUCCUCAUGGCCUUUAUGUCCAGGGCUACACACGUGCUACAAUGGGCUGUACAAAGGGCUGCAAUCCCGCGAGGGUGAGCCAAUCCCAAAAAGCAGUUCUCAGUUCGGAUUGGAGUCUGCAACUCGACUCCAUGAAGCUGGAAUCGCUAGUAAUCGUGGAUCAGCAUGCCACGGUGAAUACGUUCCCGGGCCUU
rnacentral:rRNA from 1 species